CAAGAUGUAGUUAAAAUAGUAUAACACCUCCCUUACACCGAGGAGUAGUCCGUGCAAGUCGAACCAUCCUGA
rnacentral:tRNA from 1 species